rnacentral:rRNA from 1 species
UCGCGAAACCUUCACACUGGGGGAAACCCUGAUGAGGGAAUUCCUAGUGCCUGCAUUUUUUGUAGGCUUUUAUCUAGUGUAGAUAGCUAGAAGAAUAAGGGCCGGGUAAGACGGGUGCCAGCCGCCGCGGUAAUACCCGCGGCCCAAGUGGUGGUCGAUAUUAUUGAGUCUAAAACGUCCGUAGCCGGUUCAGUAAAUCCUUGGGUAAAUCGGCCAGCUUAACUGACCGAAUUCCGAAGAGACUGCUGAACUUGGGACCGGGAGAGGCCAGAGGUACUUCUGGGGUAGGGGUAAAAUCCUGUAAUCCUAGAAGGACCACCGGUGGCGAAGGCGUCUGGCUAGAACGGAUCCGACGGUGAGGGACGAAGCCCUGGGGCGCAAACGGGAUUAGAUACCCCGGUAGUCCAGGGUGUAAACGCUGCAGGCUUGGUGUUGGGGGUCCUUCGGGAGCGCCCAGUGCCGGAGAGAAGUUGUUAAGCCUGCUACUUGGGGAGUACGUCCGCAAGGAUGAAACUUAAAGGAAUUGGCGGGGGAGCACCGCAACGGGAGGAGCGUGCGGUUUAAUUGGAUUCAACACCGGAAAACUCACCAGGAGCGACGGUUACAUGAAAGUCAGGCUGAUGACCUUACUAGAUUUUCC